UCUCAGGGCUUUGUGCAGCUGCCUCAUGCACAGAGGGAACGACUUGCCAGAGAGCUAAUAGAGGAAGAAAAGGAGGAAUGAAAGGAGAUCCUGGCAGACAUUCUUGCUGGAUAUCCAAUAUUUGCUGACUGGACCACUUUAUCUGCACCAACUUUCACAGGAGUGAGAUUUAACAGCAGUUUGAUGGAUUUGCUGUGCUCAGCUUGAGUAGCUCCUGAUGCUUGAUGACAUCCAAAUGAUUUACAAUCACCAUGACAAUAGUUUAUUAUCUUUACCUGGAAUAUUCAUUUAAUGUCAUGAGCAAUCCGUAAGUAAAGCGGGAAAUCAUUGAGGUCACCUGUAUUACAAUAGCGAAGGUGAGUCACUUUACACCACACUCAUGUAAAGGAGGAAAUGCGGUUCUCUGCUUUAUGUGGUUUACAUUGUGAUUUUUAUGAUGCAUAGAAACUGCAGUAAAGAGUGAUCAUUUGGAAGAGGAAGCAAUAAAAUUAAUGCCCAAGGCAGGAGACAGCAAUUGUUUAGGAAUUUCCCAUUAGCCUUAUAAGAGAUAACAUUUUAACCCAUAUUAUUACAAAUAUGAAAUGAAGGAAAAUUUUUCAUGAUACUAGGAAGUGUGUUAUGGAUGGUUAGAAAAGACAUGACACAGCAAGCCAUAACAUUAACUGUACUUAGUGAUGCACUGCUUUUAAAGGCUAUAUACAGUAUUUUAUUAUUUUUGUGCAAAUGACUUUAUUUAAAUAACCGAAAUUUUGACAAUCUGACAAUGUGAAUCGUGAAAUGUUUAAAUAUUAUUAAUUGUUUAGUGAAGUGAGAAGUAUUAGAAAUGACUUUAUGUUUUUAGAACAAUCUAGAUUAAAUGUAAUUGUAAAAUCUUUAUCACUCGAAUUAGACACUUUGGCCAGACCAUACACAGAUGUUUAUGUUUUAAAAUAAAUAUUAGCAUUGCCUGUGAGUCUUUUAUCUAUAGGCUUAACACAUUUACUGUCCAAAUGUAUCAUUAGGAUGAGAGAGUGAGUAGUUAAGUUCCACAAAGAUUUUAGUUUCCUUGUUUAAUCCUUAGUCUCUAUUAUUUUGUUUAGGCAGGGACAAUACUGAUUCAAUUCAACGUGCUCAAAAACUUCAAAAACUGGCUGUGUACGUGCUAAAUACAUACUCCUGUGUGGUUUGUCAUUUACACUGAGAUGAAAUACAGUGUCCAAAAAUGAUCAUUGUGACUUAAACCAAAGAUAUGAAUGUAUGGAUGUAAACCACUGAGGUGUAGAAAUAUGUUGUCCUAUUUACAGAGACACACAUUACGUUUUUUUUCUGAAUAACAACUUUUGAAAGUUUUCUCAUGGCAGCAUUUGGAUUAUCACCAGGAUGUUUUUGCGCAUCGUUGA